GAUGAACGCUGGCGGCGUGCUUAACACAUGCAAGUCGAACGGUGAAAGAGAGCUUGCUCUCUGGAUCAGUGGCGAACGGGUGAGUAACACGUGAGCAAUCUGCCCCUGACCCUGGGAUAAGCGCUGGAAACGGCGUCUAAUACCGGAUACGAGCUGCGAAGGCAUCUUCAGCAGCUGGAAAGAACUUCGGUCAGGGAUGAGCUCGCGGCCUAUCAGCUAGUUGGUGAGGUAAUGGCUCACCAAGGCGUCGACGGGUAGCCGGCCUGAGAGGGUGACCGGCCACACUGGGACUGAGACACGGCCCAGACUCCUACGGGAGGCAGCAGUGGGGAAUAUUGCACAAUGGGCGAAAGCCUGACGCAGCAACGCCGCGUGAGGGAUGACGGCCUUCGGGUUGUAAACCUCUUUCAGCGGGGACGAAGCGAAAGUGACUGUACCCGCAGAAGAAGCGCCGGCUAACUACGUGCCAGCAGCCGCCGUAACAC
rnacentral:rRNA from 1 species